rnacentral:snoRNA from 1 species
CCCGAGACUAGAGUCACAUCCUGACAGCUCUUGUCCUGGUGUGCUAGAGUCCUCGGAGAGAAUCUGCUGGUCUUGAUUCACUGGCGAGGGCAGUCGGUGCCCCCGGGAGUGCCCAGAUCAGAAACAUGC